GACGAACGCUGGCGGCGUGCUUAACACAUGCAAGUCGAACGCUGAAGACCUGGCUUUUGUUGGGUUGGAUGAGUGGCGAACGGGUGAGUAACACGUGAGUAACCUGCCCUCUUCUUUGGGAUAACGCCCGGAAACGGGUGCUAAUACUGGAUAUUCACUGAUCUUCGCAUGGGGGUUGGUGGAAAGGUUUGUUCUGGUGGGGGAUGGGCUCGCGGCCUAUCAGCUUGUUGGUGGGGUGAUGGCCUACCAAGGCUUUGACGGGUAGCCGGCCUGAGAGGGUGACCGGUCACAUUGGGACUGAGAUACGGCCCAGACUCCUACGGGAGGCAGCAGUGGGGAAUAUUGCACAAUGGGCGAAAGCCUGAUGCAGCGACGCCGCGUGAGGGAUGGAGGCCUUCGGGUUGUAAACCUCUUUCGCUCAUGGUCAGGCCGCAACUGUGGGUUGUGGUGAGGGUAGUGGGUAAAGAAGCGCCGGCUAACUACGUG
rnacentral:rRNA from 1 species